rnacentral:rRNA from 1 species
UUGCCUGCGCAUGCUACACAUGCAGUCGAACGAAGGCUUCGGCCUUAGUGGCGCACGGGUGAGUAACACGUGGGAACCUGCCUUUCGGUUCGGAAUAACGUCUGGAAACGGACGCUAACACCGGAUACGUCCUUCGGGGGAAAGUUUACGCCGAGAGAGGGGCCCGCGUCGGAUUAGGUAGUUGGUGUGGUAACGGCGCACCAAGCCGACGAUCCGUAGCUGGUCUGAGAGGAUGAUCAGCCACACUGGGACUGAGACACGGCCCAGACUCCUACGGGAGGCAGCAGUGGGGAAUAUUGGACAAUGGGCGCAAGCCUGAUCCAGCAAUGCCGCGUGAGUGAUGAAGGCCUUAGGGUUGUAAAGCUCUUUCGCACGCGACGAUGAUGACGGUAGCGUGAGAAGAAGCCCCGGCUAACUUCGUGCCAGCAGCCGCGGUAAUACGAAGGGGGCUAGCGUUGUUCGGAAUUACUGGGCGUAAAGGGCGCGUAGGCGGCCUGUUUAGUCAGAAGUGAAAGCCCCGGGCUCAACCUGGGAAUAGCUUUUGAUACUGGCAGGCUUGA